GAUGAACGCUGGCGGCGUGCCUAAUACAUGCAAGUCGAGCGAACGGACGAGAAGCUUGCUUCUCUGAUGUUAGCGGCGGACGGGUGAGUAACACGUGGAUAACCUACCUAUAAGACUGGGAUAACUUCGGGAAACCGGAGCUAAUACCGGAUAAUAUUUUGAACCGCAUGGUUCAAAAGUGAAAGACGGUCUUGCUGUCACUUAUAGAUGGAUCCGCGCUGCAUUAGCUAGUUGGUAAGGUAACGGCUUACCAAGGCAACGAUGCAUAGCCGACCUGAGAGGGUGAUCGGCCACACUGGAACUGGGACACGGUCCAGACUCCUACGGGAGGCAGCAGUAGGGAAUCUUCCGCAAUGGGCGAAAGCCUGACGGAGCAACGCCGCGUGAGUGAUGAAGGUCUUCGGAUCGUAAAACUCUGUUAUGAGGGAAAAACAUAUGUGUAAGUAACUGUGCACAUCUUGACGGUACCUAAUCAGAAAGCCACGGCUAACUACGUG
rnacentral:rRNA from 1 species